rnacentral:tRNA from 1 species
ACUAUGUACACCUCUCAAUAGCUCAGUGGUAGAGCAUUCGACUGUAGAUCGAAUGGUCGCUGGUUCGACUCC